CCCUUAGAUGUUCUGGGCUGCACGCGUGCUACAAUGGCGCUUGCAACAAGUCUUGCCAACCCGAUAGGGUGUGCGGAUCUUUGAAGAGGCGUCGUGAUCGGGACAGUUGAUUGCAAUUAUUCGACUCGAACGAGGAAUUCCUUGUAAUCGCGAUUCAUCAUAUCGCGCUGAAUACGUCCCUGCCCUUUGUACACACCGCCCGUCGCUCCUACCGAUUGAGCGAUCCGGUGAAUGUUUUGGACUGGCGUCAGAAGCGGUUCGCUCCUGACACUACGAAAUUUUGUAAACCUUAUCGCUUAGAGGAAGGAAAAGUCGUAACA
rnacentral:rRNA from 1 species